GAUCAUUGCUCAGGACGAACGCUGGCGGCGCGCCUAACACAUGCAAGUCGAACGGAGUUUACAGGUGGAAGUUUUCGGAUGGAAGCUUGUAAACUUAGUGGCGGACGGGUGAGUAACACGUGAGCAACCUGCCUAUCAGAGGGGGAUAACGAUUGGAAACGAUCGCUAAUACCGCAUGACAUAGCGGAACCGCAUGGUUCUGUUAUCAAAGAUUUUAUCGCUGAUAGAUGGGCUCGCG
rnacentral:rRNA from 1 species